rnacentral:rRNA from 1 species
UACAGAGGAGCCAAGCGUUGUCCGGAUUGACUGGGCGUAAAGCGCACGCAGGCGGUCGCGCGCGUGGGGUGUGAAAUCUGGCCGCUUAACGGCCAGGCGCCAUCCCAUACGGCGCGACUGGAGUGAUGCAGAGGUCGAUGGAAUUGCCGGUGUAGUGGUGAAAUGCGUAGAGAUCGGCAGGAACACCCAGGGGGAAACCAGUCGACUGGGCAUCUACUGACGCUGAGGUGCGAAAGCGUGGGGAGCAAACAGG